rnacentral:rRNA from 1 species
AUUGAACGCUGGCGGCAGGCCUAACACAUGCAAGUCGAACGAGUGGCGGACGGGUGAGUUAUGUCUGGGAAACUGCCUGAUGGAGGGGGAUCACUACUGGAAACGGAAGCUAAUAACGCAUACCAUCGGAUGUGCCCAGAUGGGAUUAGCUAGUAGGUGGGGUAACGGCUGACCUUGGCGACGAUCCCUAGCUGGUGUGAGAGGAUGACCAGCCACAGUGGAACUGAGACACGGUCCAGACUCCUACGUGAGGCAGCAGGGGGGAAUAUUGCACAAUGGGCGCAAGCCUGAUGCAGACAUGCCGCGUGUAUGAAGAAGGCCUUCGGGUUGUAAAGUACUUUCAGCGGGGAGGCGUUACCCGCAGAAGAAGCACCGGCUAACACCGUGCCAGCAGCCGCGGUAAUA